GGUUCCUUAGAUCGUACAUGCUACAUGGAUAACUGUAGUAAUUCUAGAGCUAAUACAUGCCACUAUGCCCUGACCCGAAAGGGAACGGGUGGAUUUAUUAGAACAGAACCAACCGGGAAUGGCUUCGGUCGUUCCUGUUGCACUCUGUGAUGACUCUGGAUAACUUUACUGAUCGCAGUCGGCCUUGUGUCGGCGACGGAUCUUUCAAAUGUCUGCCCUAUCAACUUUCGAUGGUAGGUGAUCUGCCUACCAUGGUGAUAACGGGUAACGGGGAAUCAGGGUUCGAUUCCGGAGAGGGAGCCUGAGAAACGGCUACCACAUCCAAGGAAGGCAGCAGGCGCGAAAAUUACCCACUCCCGGCACGGGGAGGUAGUGACGAAAAAUACGAAUACGGGACUCACUCGAGGCUCCGUAAUUCGAAUGAGUACAAUCUAAAUCCUUUAACGAGGACCAAUUGGAGGGCAAGUCUGGUGCCAGCAGCCGCGGUAACUCCAGCUCCAAAAGCGUAUAUUAAAGUUGCUGCAGUUAAAAAGCUCGUAGUUGGAUCUGGGUCGCGCGAUUACGUGUCGUUGCGUGGUUCUGGCUUCGGUCAGUUCUAUGUGAUGAUGAGGUGGUCGUGCAGCCUUUCAGCCGUGUCUGCGUGAGCAGGUGUUGGCUAGUCGUGGGCUUGCUCGCUGGCUAGUUGGCAUGUUUC
rnacentral:rRNA from 1 species